AAAAUUAUUCUUUGAAAUGGCAAAGAUUUCUGUGGCUGGAUCAUGGGAUUUAUUGACUGGAGCGAUUUCUCCUCAGAAGACCAGACACAUGAAAGCUUCUUAUGUCUCUUCCCUGACAUUUCACAAAAUAGAGAAAAAGGAAAGGAAAAAAAUAUCCCUGAGGAAAGGCUAAGUGUAAAGAAGAAUUUGAUUUUGGCAUUGCUUUGAGAGGUUCCACUUACUUCCUCAACCCAUGGAAUGCUUAUUGUUGAACCAACACCGUAAGAAAGACACAGCUUCAGCUUCAAUAAGACUGCACUGUAUGCAAA
rnacentral:lncRNA from 1 species